rnacentral:tRNA from 1 species
GUCCUCGUGGAGCAGCCUGGAGUGCUCGCCACCCUGUCAAGGUGGAGAACGUGGGUUCAAAUCCCAUCGGGGACG